rnacentral:rRNA from 1 species
GAUGAACGCUGGCGGCGUGCUUAACACAUGCAAGUCGAACGAAGCACUUUAUUUGAUUUCCUUCGGGACUGAUUAUUUUGUGACUGAGUGGCGGACGGGUGAGUAACGCGUGGGUAACCUGCCUUAUACAGGGGGAUAACAGUUAGAAAUGACUGCUAAUACCGCAUAAGCGCACAGGAUUGCAUGAUCUGGUGUGAAAAACUCCGGUGGUAUAAGAUGGACCCGCGUCUGAUUAGCUGGUUGGUGAGGUAACGGCCCACCAAGGCGACGAUCAGUAGCCGACCUGAGAGGGUGACCGGCCACAUUGGGACUGAGACACGGCCCAAACUCCUACGGGAGGCAGCAGUGGGGAAUAUUGCACAAUGGGGGAAACCCUGAUGCAGGGACGCCGCGUGAGCGAAGAAGUAUUUCGGUAUGUAAAGCUCUAUCAGCAGGGAAGAAAAAAAUGA